rnacentral:telomerase_RNA from 1 species
GUCGUCUUCUGUGGCUGUGGUGAAGGACCUAGCUUUCUAACCCUAACCUAGCCUUAACCUCGGGUUUAGCUCAGUGGCUGAGCACUGAUCAAAGCUCCUUCCUCUUUGCUUUCUGUUGGGCGCGUUCUUGGGGCUUUCUUUCGCGACCGACGCAUGGACGGAGCUUCGGGACAAGAAACCCUGGAAGAGAUGGUGAACGAGCGCAGCGCUAUCACUGGAAUAAACCGCCUUUGAUGCUGGAAAUGAUGCAAAGCUUCCGGGGAAUACAGCCGUGAGUAAGUUCACUUUCUGUGUUCAAGGGUUCGCCCUGCCUCCUUGCUGUUGCUCUUUCUUGCUUAGUUCGAAGGCGGCGUUGUAAUAAAUCAGUGUAAAUUAAACCUCAACGAAUUGUCGUGCAUUCCUGCUUUCGGAUCACUUGAUGCGAUCGCUUUUGUGAAGGCAGAGACCAUGACUAUUCAUACACUU